rnacentral:rRNA from 1 species
GACGAACGCUGGCGGCGUGCUUAACACAUGCAAGUCGAACGGAAAGGCCCUGCUUUUGUGGGGUGCUCGAGUGGCGAACGGGUGAGUAACACGUGAGUAACCUGCCCUUGACUUUGGGAUAACUUCAGGAAACUGGGGCUAAUACCGGAUCGGAGCUCCUGCUGCAUGGUGGGGGUUGGAAAGUUUCGGCGGUUGGGGAUGGACUCGCGGCUUAUCAGCUUGUUGGUGGGGUAGUGGCUUACCAAGGCUUUGACGGGUAGCCGGCCUGAGAGGGUGACCGGCCACAUUGGGACUGAGAUACGGCCCAGACUCCUACGGGAGGCAGCAGUGGGGAAUAGUGCACAAUGGGCGGAAGCCUGAUGCAGCAACGCCGCGUGCGGGAUGACGGCCUUCGGGUUGUAAACCGCUUUCGCCUGUGACGAAGCGUGAGUGACGGUAAUGGGUAAAGAAGCACCGGCUAAGUACGUG